rnacentral:lncRNA from 1 species
AGAGUCUAAGAUUGAGCUAAAUAUUUCCUGAUCUCUCGAGAAAGGGGGAGGGGAGUGGGAGGAUUAAAUGUUCCUUCCUUCAGGGCAGUGGUUAGGCUUUCUCUCCACCAAAAUCUAACUUUAGCUGUAAAGAAGACUGCAGUUAUGUAGUACUUUGUAUCCAGGGAUCUCAAAGAACUUUACGCAUCAUUUAUUGUGAACCUUGUUUUGCAAAGAUUUCAGUUACUUGAGGCUUGGGAGGCGGAUAGGGGAUAAAUGUCUGAGUUAUAUAUAUAUUUACGCAAGUAAUCGAGUUUGAGGGGAGAGACACAAAACCUCUGGUUUAGCGGUUUCCUCUUGUUUGUGAAGCACCUUCUAGCAGUUAUCUUAGAGAUGUAAGUUCAUUUACUUGUCCAGCACUAAAAGGCCAAAGGGGCUUGUUUUCUCACCCAAAAGACCUUCCUGAGGCAGCUGUUCGGAUACAUGCAGAGCACAGCGCCCUGCUCAGAAAGGAAGGUUCAGAGAACAAAUUGUCGUUUAAAACUAUUGGGACAAACCUACCUCUUCUAAAGCUUAAAAUGGUCUCCAGCGUACCAGGAUUUGUGAAGGCCUGAAGUUCGUAGAAUGAAAUCUAUGUGGAGAUGAUUUAAAAGAACGGUUUCACUGAGACCAACACAUAUAAACCAAGUCUACACAAGAAACAAAGCUAAAAUCCUUUCGAAAUGAGUUCCUUUAAGUUCUUCAGUAACUAAAUCCUCCAGAAAGGAAAGCCGAGAGAAUCUAGUCCUAUACAAUAACACCCUCUAACAAAGAUCGCUAAAGGAAGAUUUUAGUAGAUGAAUAUCUUCAAUAAUACAUGGUCACAUACAUGUAUCUGACCAUAUGAUGGCUCUCUGCACCAAAUUCCUCCAAACUAUUAUAAUAUGUAUUGUCUGUAGUGCUAUUUAUUUGGCAGUUAAUCAUGUAUUACAUUGUGACAUUUCUUACAGUGAACCAUUAUGUAUGUGUUUAUGUUCUGCCCUCAACUACUCAAUGCCAGUACCUUAUUCUUAACACAGCAACCACCCUUUCUGGUCUGUCCUCACACCCUCAUUCCCAUCAUAGUUAUUCUCCUCUCUCAUGGAAAUGUUCAGUUUCUGGACAUCUCCUUUCUCUUCCAUUCUUCACCUGACCUUCCUUCCUUUCUUGGCCAGCCUGAAUAUUAUAAAGGGAAUUUUAUUUCAAACCCAGGAUCGCACUUAAGAGGAAAAGAAACAAAAGCCAGUUCUUUUUAUUGCACAUAGAACAAGGAGAAACUCCACCCCUUUUGUUGUCUGGUAUGUUUAAAACAAGAAAGAACUUUAGAAAAGUAGGAUAUGAGUGAAAAUUACAACCAAUGUUGAGAACUACUUUUUAAUUUUUUAUUACAAAAUUAGGAUGAUACUUCAUUAAACAUUGUACAU